rnacentral:rRNA from 1 species
AUUGAACGCUGGCGGCAUGCCUAACACAUGCAAGUCGAACGAGUGGCGGACGGGUGAGUAAUGUCUGGGAACCUGCCUGGUAGCGGGGGAUAACUACUGGAAACGGUAGCUAAUACCGCAUACCAUCGGAUGUGCCCAUAUGGGAUUAGCUAGUAGGUGGGGUAACGGCUCACCAAGGCGACGAUCCCUAGCUGGUCUGAGAGGAUGACCAGCCACACUGGAACUGAGACACGGCCCAGACGCCUCCGGGAGGCAGCAGUGGGGAAUAUUGCACAAUGGGCGAAAGCCUGAUGCAGCCAUGCCGCGUGUAUGAAGAAGGCCUUCGGGUUGUAAAGUACUUUUAGCAGGGAAGCGGUACCUGCAGAAGAAGCACCGGCUAACUACGUGCCAGCAGCCGCGGUAAUAC